UACGGGGGGGGCAAGCGUUGUUCGGAAUUACUGGGCGUAAAGGGCGCGUAGGCGGCCUGUUAAGUCGAACGUGAAAUCCCCGGGCUCAACCCGGGAACUGCGUCCGAUACUGGCAGGCUUGAAUUCGGGAGAGGGAUGCGGAAUUCCAGGUGUAGCGGUGAAAUGCGUAGAUAUCUGGAGGAACACCGGUGGCGAAGGCGGCUUCCUGGACCGAGAUUGACGCUGAGGCGCGAAAGCCAGGGGAGCAAACGGG
rnacentral:rRNA from 1 species